rnacentral:rRNA from 1 species
UACGUAGGGUGCAAGCGUUGUUCGGAAUCAUUGGGCGUAAAGCGCGCGUAGGCGGCUUGGUAAGUCUGCUCUGAAAGCCCGGGGCUCAACCCCGGGAGGCGGGUGGAUACUGCUGAGCUCGAGUCCGGAAGAGGUGAGUGGAAUUCCUGGUGUAGCGGUGAAAUGCGCAGAUAUCAGGAGGAACACCCGUAGCGAAGGCGGCACUCUGGGCCGAUACUGACACUGAGGAGCGAAAGCGUGGGGAGCGAACAGG